UACGUAGGGUGCAAGCGUUGUCCGGAAUUAUUGGGCGUAAAGAGCUCGUAGGCGGUCUGUUGCGUCGGCUGUGAAAACCCGAGGCUCAACCUCGGGCCUGCAGCCGAUACGGGCAGACUAGAGUUCGGCAGGGGAGACUGGAAUUCCUGGUGUAGCGGUGAAAUGCGCAGAUAUCAGGAGGAACACCGAGUGGCGAAGGCAGGUCUCUGGGUCAAUAACUGAC
rnacentral:rRNA from 1 species